CCUACGGGGGGCUGCAGUGGGGGAUAUUGCACAAUGGGGGGAACCCUGAUGCAGCGACGCCGCGUGGGUGAAGAAGCGCCUCGGCGCGUAAAGCCCUGUCAGCAGGGAAGAAAAUGACGGUACCUGAAGAAGAAGCCCCGGCUAACUACGUGCCAGCAGCCGCGGUAAUACGUAGGGGGCAAGCGUUAUCCGGAUUUACUGGGUGGAAAGGGGGCGCAGACGGCGAUGCAAGCCAGGAGUGAAAGCCCGGGGCCCAACCCCGGGACUGCUCUUGGAACUGCGUGGCUGGAGUGCAGGAGGGGCAGGCGGAAUUCCUGGUGUAGCGGUGAAAUGCGUAGAUAUCAGGAGGAACACCAGUGGCGAAGGCGGCCUGCUGGGCUUUUACUGACGCUGAGGCUCGAAAGUGUGGGGAGCAAACAGGAUUAGAUACCCCGGUAGUC
rnacentral:rRNA from 1 species